GAUAAGGUGGCCGAAAUUUAGGUGAUAAAUUGUAAAUUUAUUUAUGGUGUUAUGCCUCUUAUCA
rnacentral:tRNA from 1 species